rnacentral:rRNA from 1 species
AGUGAACGCUGGCGGUAGGCCUAACACAUGCAAGUCGAACGGCAGCACAGUAAGAGCUUGCUCUUACGGGUGGCGAGUGGCGGACGGGUGAGGAAUACAUCGGAAUCUACUUUUUCGUGGGGGAUAACGUAGGGAAACUUACGCUAAUACCGCAUACGACCUACGGGUGAAAGCAGGGGAUCUUCGGACCUUGCGCGAUUGAAUGAGCCGAUGUCGGAUUAGCUAGUUGGCGGGGUAAAGGCCCACCAAGGCGACGAUCCGUAGCUGGUCUGAGAGGAUGAUCAGCCACACUGGAACUGAGACACGGUCCAGACUCCUACGGGAGGCAGCAGUGGGGAAUAUUGGACAAAGGGCGCAAGCCUGAUCCAGCCAUACCGCGUGGGUGAAGAAGGCCUUCUGGUUGUAAAGCCCUUUUGUUGGGAAAGAAAAGCAGCAGGUUAAUACCCCGCUGUCCUGACGGUACCAAAAGAAUAAGCACCGGCUAGCUUCGUG